GGAAUUCUGAGUCAGAGUUGUCGGCUGUGAUGUCACCUUGCCUUCAGAGAUGCCACACUGUCAUAGGCCAAUUCAGGCCUCUACUAUGACCGCUGGCAUGGAGAGUUCUGAUUCUGCAUGCCAGGUUCUAGCUCAUCAGGGAAGAAGCCCUGCAGAUGAGAUCGGGCACAUUCAGGGUGGUAUGGCCAUAGACAAGAAACCCUGCAGGAUCCUAAACUGGUGGCUAAAUCAGCCUGCACCUCUCCCAGCCAUGCCACUGGAGCUCUGUGCUCUUGGCCUGUGCCCUCCCAGGCGGCCUCCCCGUGGCUGUAGAGCCCUUGCAGAGACCAUGAACCUGGAGGCAACAGGCAGGUGAGGCUCUCCGUCCCCAGCGUCCACUUGGCACAGAGGCGCGAAUCAGCUGUGGCCAACAGCGUGGCUUAUGACCUGGGUAUCGAAAUAUCUGUUUCCUCUAAAAUCACCAUUGGUUCAUUUGGGGUUUAGCCAUAGCUCUUCUUUAUUUUUAAAAUUUCUUCCAUCCAUUCUUGCCUCAUGCAGCCUAUUUCCAACAUUGUAGCCAAAGUGAUGCUAUUAAAAUACAACACAACAUUGAUCUCCAAAAUUUUCUGGUGAAGUCCAGUAGAACUUUCUGUGAUGAUGGAAAUAUGCUGCCUGGACUACCCAAUAUGAUGGCCGUUAGCUACACAUAGCUCUUGAGCACAGGUGACUAUUAACAUAGGUGGCUCCUGGCUGGCAUACCGGUAGUUCAGUUCCAGUGGCCUCCCAGAUCACUGAGUAACAGAAAGUCUUUGCAUUGUCUGUCAAGGUCAAGCCCUACCAUAUUGAUGACCUAAUCUCCUUCACAUGUGUCUUGCUCACUCUUCAGUAGCUGGUUUUCUUGUUGCUCCUUGAACACGAUGUUCUGCUCUUCGUAGGAAUCUUUGUACUUGUUUCUUCUCUCUUUAAUGUUCUUUCUUUAAAUAUCUUCAUGGCUCAGUUCUUCACUUCCUUUAAUUACAGUGUUUAAAACAUUUGCAUUUCAUGUGUUAUUGAUUUAAAUCUAUGCAUUUAAACCUAACGUUUCACUGUUUCUUUUAUAUUUGUCCCAUCUGUUCUUUGCUUCACUUUUUUUUUUUUGGUUGUCUCCCAGUUUUUUUGAAUUUAUUAAGCAUUUUUAUAACAUUUUCUCUCCAUUUGUAGUUACCAACUUACUGGCUCAUUGGUCUUU
rnacentral:lncRNA from 1 species